GAGCGCCGUAUGAUAGGAAACUAUCACGUACGGUGUGAACUGAGGGAAAAGCUACCCUGACUGCCAAUUUAGUGGCAAAAGCGGUGGCUUACCUAUCGGUAU
rnacentral:ncRNA from 1 species